GACGAACGCUGGCGGCGUGCUUAACACAUGCAAGUCGAACGAAGAGCGAUGGAAGCUUGCUUCUAUCAAUCUUAGUGGCGAACGGGUGAGUAACGCGUAAUCAACCUGCCCUUCAGAGGGGGACAACAGUUGGAAACGACUGCUAAUACCGCAUACGAUCUAAUCUCGGCAUCGAGGAUAGAUGAAAGGUGGCCUCUACAUGUAAGCUAUCACUGAAGGAGGGGAUUGCGUCUGAUUAGCUAGUUGGAGGGGUAACGGCCCACCAAGGCGAUGAUCAGUAGCCGGUCUGAGAGGAUGAACGGCCACAUUGGGACUGAGACACGGCCCAGACUCCUACGGGAGGCAGCAGUGGGGAAUCUUCCGCAAUGGACGAAAGUCUGACGGAGCAACGCCGCGUGAGUGAUGACGGCCUUCGGGUUGUAAAGCUCUGUUAAUCGGGACGAAAGGCCUUCUUGCGAACAGUUAGAAGGAUUGACGGUACCGGAAUAGAAAGCCACGGCUAACUACGUG
rnacentral:rRNA from 1 species